rnacentral:lncRNA from 1 species
GCAGGAUCACCUCCAAACAAAUUAGAUCAGCGAUCUUUUUUUGUCACUUUGAUUUAUCCACCACUCUAAAUUGAUUUAGCACCUGAGCAAGUUGUCAAUGACAUGUUAGUUUUAGGUGAGAACAUUGUUCCUCCUAUUCUUUGUGAUAAUUUGGUGUCUCAAAUACCAUGUCCCUAUGUAAAUAUGUAUUAGCUGUUUCUUAGCAGGAACACCUCCAAACAAGUUGGAUCAGUGAUCUUUGUUUUUGUCACUUUGAAAUUUGUCCACUGCUCUAAAUUGAUUUAGCACCUCAGAAGUUGUCAAUGUCAUGUUAGUUCUGAGAACAUCGUUCCUCCUAUGUUAUGUGCAAUUUCUUUUUUUUUGGACUACAUCCUGUGUUAUACAAAAUGUCUUCUUUUUUUGUGUGUGUUGGGGGGGGGGGGGGGGUUGCGCCAAAUAACCUUGGUUACUGAUUAUGAUCUGAUAUUGCGUUGGUGCUGAAUCUCUGUUCAAUAUGUUUAUGAAACGGUCAGGACUCUGCAGGACACGGUGGAUUCAGGAAGGGAUGAUCUUUUAUUGGAUUUCUGUUCUUAAUUGAGGAAAGGUAUAAUCGCAUCAUCUCCCCACAUUUAUGUUUACUUUCACAGGGGCUGGAUUACUUUGACUGAUUUUAGUUUCUCAUUUCUAUACAUGCUUACAUUUAUUUGUAAUGUCCUUUUUUUUACUGAAGGGUGGUGAUCAUCUGAAGGUCAAUCUUUGGGCUGUCCAGUGCUCUUCUGGUAAUACCUAUAGGGUAUCCUGCUGCUAUACGUGUAAUGUCAUUGUUGCUUUUUUUUGGCAAUCAGUUAUCUGCUUCAGGUGAUUUUUGUUCUACAUGGCAGAGCGUCACAGGCUUUACAAAGCCAGUUGAGUCAGUAAAGCUUUGACGUUACACUAGGUGCUGGUGCAACAACUGGAGCAGUAAAGCUUUGAGUCAAUAAAGCUUUUACAGUUUCAAUGCUUCUUGCAAAACUAAACUCCUUUUAUGCUCUCAACAAUUUGACUCGACAACAUUUAUGUGUGUAGGUGAGUGAAAAUUCCUUUUGUGCAGAAGGUGCUACCAAUUUAGAGAUUGCUAAGAAAACCAUGCAUAUACAUAUAGCGACAACAGCAACAUUAAAAAUUAAAUAUUUCUUGCUUUGCUUGGUUUACGACCAUUAUACUAUUACAUUCAGCCCAUAAUCUGAUGUCAAUGUUCAGACUUAUUAAAAGUUAAGGUACAUUCUGAAUUCUUAAUUACUCCCUCCAUCCCAAAUUGUAAGUCAUUCCAAGAAUCUUGGAGAGUCAAAACAUUUUUACGUUUGACCAAAAUUAUAGAGAGAAAUACUAAGAAUUGUAACGUAAAGUUAGUAUACUUUGAAAAUAUAGUUAAGAAAGAAUUUAAUGAUAUUUAGUUGAUAUCAUAAUAAUAAUUAUUUUAUCAUAUAAAUUCGGUCAAACUUAGAAAAGUUUGAUUCUCCAAGAUUCUUCGAAUGACUUACAAUUUGGGAUGGAGGGAGUACUACAUAUCAGUUCGAGAGAAUUAUCUUAGUCAAUACACUUGAUCCUACAAGUACUUAUGUCACUUAGCUAGAUGUAUUCUAGACUUCAUGGAUACCUAAUUAUUAGUGACAGCUAUACAUCUACAUACUACCCUUUCAACGUUCCCAUGAAACAUAUAUUGCAAAAACAUGCCACCUAUUUAAGGCUUUCUCUUUUUGUGAGCUUUUAGCAACAACCUAAUUCUAAAGUUUUUUUUAAUACAACUGCAGUGUGAUAAUAGCAUAUUCAUUGCAGGAUAACACUAAUGUAUGAUCCCUCUUUUUUGUAGCCUUUUAGUGUAAUGGCUACUUACAAUAGCCGCUUAUGGUAAUUACUGGCGCCACACAGUUCAGCUAGAAUUAUUACCUUAAAGCGAAUAUUCUUCUCUAUUGUUGGCAGAGAUGGCCUAGGUAUACCUGUAACAAGUAUUGCUUCCACCCUUCUUGUCUCAUAAUGUAUAGCACUACCUAUUUGUCAUCUUCCAAAUUUGAAAUACUUGAAUGGUUCUUUAUGAUUCUGGCCAAUCAGGGUCACCACUAUAAUAGUGGCAUACAUGUAAGGACAGUUUUGGCGCAGAGAGUUCAUGUCUUCUUAACUUUUUAGUUGUUGCAGAAGCCAUGUACUCACCACACAUUUCAAGUUAUAUAUAUCGUACAUAUAGGAUUUUAAUUAAAAUAUGUUUUAUGUAUGUUUUUAGCCUUUUUUCUUCCUACAAUAGGCCAUUUAGACAUACGAUAUUUUAUAUUUAGCCCCCAUAUGCAGCCUGAGUUAAGAUAUUUUGAUGCUUUAAGAAUGAAGAUGCCAUUUUAGUUCCUACACAGACCAUUUAGGCUUUCA